CGGGGAGUAGCGCAGUUGGCUAGCGCGCUUGCUUUGGGAGCAAGAGGUCGAGGGUUCAAGCCCCUCCUCCCCGACCA
rnacentral:tRNA from 1 species